AACAAACACAGACUGAUGGAGAGAGGUAGAGAGAGAACAAACACAGACUGAUGGAGGGAGGUAGAGAGAGAGAACAAACACAGACUGAUGGAGAGAGAGAACAGACACAGACUGAUGGAGGUGGAGAGAGAGAACAAACACAGACUGAUUGAGAGAGAGAACAAACACAGACUGAUGGAGGGAGGUAGAGAGAGAGAACAAACACAGACUGAUGGAGGGAGGUGGAGAGAGAACAAACACAGACUGAUGGAUGGAGGUGGAGAGAGAGAACAAACACAGACUGAUGGAGGGAGGUGGAGAGAGAGAACAAACACAGACUGAUGGAGGGAGGUGGAGAGAGAGAACAAACACAGACUGAUGGAUGGAGGUGGAGAGAGAACAAACACAGACUGAUGGAGAGAGAGAACAAACACAGACUGAUGGAGGGAGAUGGAGAGAACAAACAAAGACUGAUGGAGGGAGGUGGAGAGAGAGAACAGACACAGACUGAUGGAGGGAGGUAGAGAGAGAACAGACACAGACUGAUGGAGGGAGGUAGAGAGAGAGAACAAACACAGACUGAUGGAGGGAGGUGGAGAGAGAGAACAAACACAGACUGAUGGAGGGAGGUAGAGAGAGAGAACAGACACAGACUGAUGGAGGGAGGUAGAGAGAGAGAACAAACAGAGACUGAUGGAGGGAGGUAGAGAGAGAGAACAAACACAGACUGAUGGAGGUGGAGAGAGAGAACAAACACAGACUGAUGGAGGUGGAGAGAGAACAAACACAGACUGAUGGAGGGAGAGAGAGAGAACAAACACAGACUGAUGGAGAGAGAGAACAAACACAGACUGAUGGAGGGAGGUAGAGAGAGAACAAACACAGACUGAUGGAGGGAGGUGGAGAGAGAACAAACACAGACUGAUGGAUGGAGGUGGAGAGAGAGAACAAACACAGACUGAUGGAGGUGGAGAGAGAGA
ensembl:lncRNA